rnacentral:rRNA from 1 species
CCUACGGGGGGCUGCAGUGGGGAAUAUUGGACAAUGGGGGGAACCCUGAUCCAGCCAUGCCGCGUGUGUGAAGAAGGCCCUCGGGUUGUAAAGCACUUUCAGUGAGGAAGAACGCCUGGUGGUUAAUACCCAUCAGGAAAGACAUCACUCACAGAAGAAGCACCGGCUAACUCCGUGCCAGCAGCCGCGGUAAUACGGAGGGUGCGAGCGUUAAUCGGAAUUACUGGGCGUAAAGCGCGCGUAGGUGGCUUGAUAAGCCGGUUGUGAAAGCCCCGGGCUCAACCUGGGAACGGCAUCCGGAACUGUCAAGCUAGAGUGCAGGUGAGGAAGGUAGAAUUCCCGGUGUAGCGGUGAAAUGCGUAGAGAUCGGGAGGAAUACCAGUGGCGAAGGCGGCCUUCUGGACUGACACUGACACUGAGGUGCGAAAGCGUGGGUAGCAAACAGGAUUAGAUACCCGUGUAGUC